rnacentral:lncRNA from 1 species
AGCAAAGCUGUGAUAAAUGCAACAAGACAGUAAGGUUACAUGUACUAUCUAUCUGCCUCUCCCCCAAGUUCUCUGAAGGUGGCAAACUGUUGGGCUGAACUGUCUUGGUGCAGGGAAAUCCUAUGCCCUUAAUCAGGGUCCGAACCCUAUGGUAUAAUCGGAGUUUCGGUGUCUCGCUAGAACUAUGUUCCGUAUGUUAGGUUACCGCUGUAUAUUUGAUACCCUAUUCGGGGCAACGACUAGGAAGUUUUGCUACUCAUUUGCAUAUGGGAAGGGUGCGCUAGUUCUUAGUUCUUACCUCUAGUAGUUUAUCUCAUUCUGAAACGAGGUCACUUUAUUGACUGCCAUUGUGGUGCUACUACUUAGCAGUGAAGCUAGAUUCUGUAUGUUGUAGGCUUUAGCAGAACAAUCGAAUGGUACUCUACCUGUUAUGCUAUGUAUCAGUGGAUUUGCGGUAUGACACUAAUAGUAAUGUUGUCGGGUGGUGAAUGAAAUGUCGGUCGUUAUGGGUGAUUAAUUAAUUUUGCAACCACAGCAUGUUUGCACGUAUACUUAGACUUGAAAUAUUUCGAAAGAUAUAUGAAGUUCUGAAUGUUUCUUUUGACAUACUCCCUCCGUCCGGAAAUACUUGUCAUCAAAAUGAAUAAAAAGGGAUGUAUCUAGUACAUCCCUUUUUAUCCAUUUUGAUGACAAGUAUUUCCUUCUUAUUUAUUUUGAUGACAAGUAUUUCCUUUUUAUUCAUUUUGAUGACAAAUAUUUUCGGACGGAGGGAGUACUACAGCUCUUCUCCAUGUCGUUUCUUCUAUACAUCUUCUGGAUGGAUUUUUUAGGGUAUAUAUUUGUUCUGGAUACUGCGAGCUGAUACUGACAGAGCCCGUGGAACUCUAGUCGCCUUCCACUCUCCCAAGUAAAAUAAAUAAAUGGAACCUCUUACUAAAUUCUGAGAUCUCUAUUUUAUGUACUUUUGUUCAGUUUGUCGAAGUUUGAUGGGGACCACCCGUUUGUGAACAUCUUCUAUACCACUAGAGGCAAACAUGCAACAUGCUUCGUCGCACUGUUUUUCAUUCAUUUGUGGAUUAGCUCUUUUUUCUCUAGCAGAUUAUUACGGUUGGUUGUUGCCUUCUGAUUUUAUCUAUGUUGGCUUGGAUUUUAUUUAUUUUAUGGAGUAUUCUUUUUUGUCACUCGCAUAUCGUGUUGGAUUAUUGUUGAAGAUGAUAUUUGUUCUGAGAGGAAAGUGGAUUUGUUAAAUGUGUGGUUGUUAGGUUCUUACACGUUUCAACCCUAGUGUCAGCAGGUGGUGGUUGUGUGAGCCCUUGGGAGCUCUUAUUCUAUGUUGAAACAAUGGAAUUGCUGUCAUAUUGUUCAC